rnacentral:rRNA from 1 species
CUCAGGACGAACGCUGGCGGCGUGCUUAACACAUGCAAGUCGAACGAUGAAGCCCUUCGGGGUGGAUUAGUGGCGAACGGGUGAGUAACACGUGGGCAAUCUGCCCUUCACUCUGGGACAAGCCCUGGAAACGGGGUCUAAUACCGGAUAACACUCUGUCCCGCAUGGGACGGGGUUAAAAGCUCCGGCGGUGAAGGAUGAGCCCGCGGCCUAUCAGCUUGUUGGUGGGGUGAUGGCCUACCAAGGCGACGACGGGUAGCCGGCCUGAGAGGGCGACCGGCCACACUGGGACUGAGACACGGCCCAGACUCCUACGGGAGGCAGCAGUGGGGAAUAUUGCACAAUGGGCGAAAGCCUGAUGCAGCGACGCCGCGUGAGGGAUGACGGCCUUCGGGUUGUAAACCUCU